AUUUGUCAGGGAUUUAAAAAUGUAACCAAGGAUGAGGAUGCUGUUGAGUACAUGAAGAAAUUUGCUGAUGAACUUCAGAAUAUUCAGGGAAGAGAAGUGGAUAGGAUAGAGAGACAAAUGAAAGCAGAGUUUGAGGGAAAGUACCACAUAAAAUUAAGACAUGUUGACCUGGAGCCAUUAUAAUGUAUACUAAAGAUUAGUAAAUCAAAAACUGCCAGUGAUGCAAGUGUCUAGUCUGACAAUAAUACAAGGAUUUUAAAAGGAAAAUGUAACCCAAAGGAUUCAUCAGAAUGACUUUUUAUGUGAUAAUUUGCAUACAAGUAUUAUUUUUUAAAUGUGUGAUUUUUUCCGUGGAAUGUGAGGGAUUGCAGAAUUCCAUGUGACUGUAUAAAGGACUAAUGUGUGUAUAAAUGACUAAUGUAUAAAGGACUGUGCAAUUAUAAAUAUGAAGUUUUC